GGAACUUGGAAUGAAGGAAUGUUCCUCUGGAACAACUUCUUGUGCCUGAAGAGGCGACUUCAAUUAGAGUCUUUAUAUAUAUUGCAAUGGUCUAGCAUCUCAUUAUUUUGGGAAUUUCUUUGUGACAACUAAUCAGAAGGAUGAGUCGCUGCCUUGUAGAAUUUUUUAUUUUUAAAUAAAAAAUGCAAAUAUAUGUGCCUAUUUUGAAAAAUUGCAUAUCUAGACUCAUGUCUGGAGCCUUUUUCAAAACGGUCGUAAAUAUUUGCAAAUUUUUUUAUUUUAAAAGUAUAAAAAUAAAAAAAUUCCUGCCUCUGUGUCUCGCCUUAGGCCCAGUAGAAACGGGAAAUCUUAGCCCGUGGAGAGCUAAUCACAUCCGUGGUCUCAAAAAGUAUUUUCUUGGCCCACAAGUGAACCGGACCGAAUCCUUGCUAAUUCUACUCGGGCUCAGAAAAUCUCCAGUUGCGGGAAGCGGCUGGGCCGGAGGAGAUGCGGGCGCGGAGGUUUUAGCUCGCUGACGGCUGACGAGGGAGAAGGGAGGUCGGAGUCGGAUUUCGUGGCCAAAAACCCCAAGCUUUCCCUUCCCCUCGCCGCCGCCGCCGCCGCCAUGCUCCAACUCCAAAAACAUCUUAUCCCCUUCCACCGCUCCGCCUCCCCCAUCCACCUCUCCCUCCACCGCGCCCUCCUAUCAGCCGCCGCCGCCGCCUCGCCGGCCCACUUCGCCGUCGACGACUACCUCGUCACCACAUGCGGCCUCACCAAUGAGCAAGCCGCGAAGGCCGCCAAGUACAUCUCCCACUUCAAGUUCCCCUCCAAGGCUGACGCCGUGCUCGCCUUCUUCACCGGCCCGGCCCUCGGCCUCUCCAAGGCCGACAUCGCGCUCCUCGUGUCCCUCGACCCGCGCAUCCUCAACUCCAGCGUCGAGAAAACCCUCAGGGCCCGCGUCGAUGGCUUCCUCAGCCACGGAUUCACGGCCGCCCAGAUCCGCAGUUUCGUCCGCCGGGCCCCCUCUCUCUUCCGCUCCGUCAACAUUAACAAGAAGCUCGGCUUCUGGAUGCCGCUCUUCGGCUCCCCGGAGCGGCUGCUCCAGGCCAGCGACUGGAACAACUGGCUCCUAACCACCGACCUCAAGAAGGUCGAGCCCAACGUCGCCUUCCUCAAGCAGUGCGGGCUGAGCGCCGGCGACAUCGCCAAGCUGCUCGUGGCCGCGUCCCGGCUCGUCACCAUGCACCCGGAGUAUGUCCAGGACGCCGUGCGGCGCACCACGCAGCUCGGCGUGGCGCCAGGGUCCCAGAUGUUCCGGCACGCGCUCGCUACCAUCGGGUGCAUCUGCCAGGAGAAGGUCGACGCCAAGGUCGCCGUCCUCAAGGAGACGCUCGGGUGGUCGCAGGAGGAGGUGAACCUGGCCUUCAGCAAGGCGCCGCGGAUCCUGGUCGCGUCCGAGGAGAGGCUGCGCCGGAACGCGGAGUUCCUGAUCAACAAGGUCGGGCUGCCGCCGCAGUACAUCGCGCACCGGUCGGUGCUCCUCAUGUACAGCCUCGAGCGGAGGCUGGUGCCCCGGCACCUCGUGGUGAAGGCUCUCAAGGAGAGGAGGCUGGUUGAUCAAGAUCGGUGCUUCUUCAACGUGGUGACGCCAACCGAAGAGAAGUUCUUGGAGAAAUUCGUUGCUCCCUACGAGAAGUCCAUUCCCGGUCUUGCUGACGAUUACGAGUCUGCCUGUGCCGGGAAGGUGCCGGAGGGAUUUCAAUAUUGACUGGACUGCAAGGAGAAUUUCUGGCUGGCAGGUUCAUGGUCAUUUACUGUAGGUCUAUUACAGUUGAUACCAAAGUUGUUGUUUAUAACUAUCAAAAUGCUCAUUUCUGGUCAACAAUGGUUUUGAUAUAAAUUGCGAGCGAUUGAUUUCAUUUUGCUAUCAGUUUUUUUGGGUUGUCAGGAGCUUGACUUCGUCGUCCCGUAGAAGAUGUCGUAGGUCAUAAUGCGUGCCAUACUGAAGCGAUUAACAUAUUACACUGCAGACUGCGCCAACUAGUGAAGUUACACUGCAGACUGCGCCAAGGAGUGAGGACUGCUCAAGAAACUACACUGGUCAUAAAUGUAACUGUGGUGCUUACUGUGAACCAAUCUUCAGUUAGUGACUAGAAUAUCCUUCGUCACAGGGCCUGGCUACGACGUGAGAAUGUAAAUUGGCCAGGAAUGCAGGACUGUAUUUGUCUCUUUCGGCUACGGGAGCAUCGGAGACAGUUCUAUACUUCAACAAAAUCAAGCGAGCCGUUUGAGACAAGCUAUGCGCAAUGGCCAAGUAUUAUCUGGGCAUCGCUCCACAAUAUUGCUUCACCAUCAACGGCGCAAAGGGAAUGGGGGAAGCUGAUCUAUGAGUUCCUGUAUUGUAUACAGGCAUACAGCUAGGCUUCAAAGGAAGGAAUGCUCCUAUGGGACUUCAAAUUUUUAUUUUUGAGAGAAACAUGCGACUUCAAUUGGACAGGCUUCUAGAUUGUAUCAGCUUUCUUGGCUAUAAGUUGUUUUUUUCAGAGAAGAUUCUUGGCUGUAAGUUGUUUUUUUCAGAGAGGAUUCUUGUCUGUAAGUUGUUUUUUCAGAGAGGAUUCUUGACUGUAAGCAACCCCAGUCCUGAUUGUGGAA